rnacentral:misc_RNA from 1 species
AAAGUCGUAACAAGGUUUCCGUAGGUGAACCUGCGGAAGGAUCAUCAUUGAACCUCUAAAUAUCAUAAACACGCUUUGUGCAUUUUGUUACCCCGCUUUUGGGAAAAAGGGGGGAGGGAAAGGGUUUUUCUCUCCACCCCCUCCCUUUCUACCACAAGCAUUUUUUUUAUACUUAAACUCGCUUUUUUAUCCCACUUUUUCUUAAACAUAAAAAAAUCUUUAAAAAGAAGACAACUUUUAACAACGGAUCUCUUGGCUCUC